UUAGUGGUCAAGCUAACAAGGGCAGAUGGUGGAUACCUAGGCACACAGAGGCGAUGAA
rnacentral:rRNA from 1 species